rnacentral:rRNA from 1 species
GACGAACGCUGGCGGCGUGCUUAACACAUGCAAGUCGAACGGAAAGGCCCUGCUUUUGUGGGGUGCUCGAGUGGCGAACGGGUGAGUAACACGUGAGUAACCUGCCCUUGACUUUGGGAUAACUUCAGGAAACUGGGGCUAAUACCGGAUAGGAGCUCCUGCUGCAUGGUGGGGGUUGGAAAGUUUCGGCGGUUGGGGAUGGACUCGCGGCUUAUCAGCUUGUUGGUGGGGUAGUGGCUUACCAAGGCUUUGACGGGUAGCCGGCCUGAGAGGGUGACCGGCCACAUUGGGACUGAGAUACGGCCCAGACUCCUACGGGAGCCAGCAGUGGGGAAGAUUGCACAAUGGGCGGAAGCCUGCUGCAGCAACGCCGCGGGCGGGAUGACGGCCUUCGGGGUGUAAACCGCUUUCGCCUGUGACGAAGCAGGAGUGAAGGUAAUGGGUAAAGAAGCACCGGCUAACUACGUG